UACGUAGGGGGCAAGCGUUGUCCGGAAUUAUUGGGCGUAAAGAGCGCGUAGGCGGUCCGAUAAGUCGGCUGUGAAAGUCCAGGGCUCAACCCUGGAAAGCCGGCCGAUACUGUCGGACUAGAGUCCGGAAGAGGCAAGUGGAAUUCCCGGUGUAGCGGUGAAAUGCGUAGAUAUGCGGAGGAACACCGAUGGCGAAGGCAAUCCCCUGGGCCUGCACUGACGCUCAUGCACGAAAGCGUGGGGAGCAAACAGG
rnacentral:rRNA from 1 species